GCCCGUCUAGCUCAGUCGGUAGAGCGCAAGGCUCUUAACCUUGUGGUCGUGGGUUCGAACCCCAUGGUGGGCG
rfam:Nelumbo nucifera unplaced genomic scaffold scaffold00037, whole genome shotgun sequence